UACGAAGGGGGCUAGCGUUGCUCGGAAUCACUGGGCGUAAAGGGUGCGUAGGCGGGUCUUUAAGUCAGGGGUGAAAUCCUGGAGCUCAACUCCAGAACUGCCUUUGAUACUGAAGAUCUUGAGUCCGGGAGAGGUGAGUGGAACUGCGAGUGUAGCGGUGAAAUGCGUAGAUAUUGGGAGGAACACCAGUGGCGAAGGCGGCUACCUGGACCGGUUCUGACGCUGAUGCGCGAAAGCGUGGGUAGCAAACAGG
rnacentral:rRNA from 1 species